CCUGGGGCCCAAGGGCGCGACCACACCCAUCCCCACAUCCCCACUUGGCGGGCCCCUCUUCUGAGACCACUCCCAGGUCCGACUCUGUAGCAGUCGGGCAGGAGAAGGAGACGAGAAAUAGACACGGUUUCUCAGCAGACGAAAUCGAAUACGAGCAUUUGGUGGCUCAGGGCCCGGAGGGCUGAAGAAACAGAUCGUAUGGCAGAAAGCUGCCGUCCCUAAGGCGAGGGGAAGCGGGGAAGAGGUCGGGCUGAGCAGACACCUAGACGCCAGGAUGAGGGGCCUGGAAGAGGCAGAGCCUGGAUCUCUGAGGAGGGGCUGCCACAAUUUCUCAGGGAAGGCGGAAGCAACCUUAUCCACCACGAGGGGAUAUGGGGCAGGAGAUGAUUUCUGAGGACCAUCUUCCAGGGAACCUCUGUGUGCCCAACGCGGGGCUGGAACUCGCAACCCCGAGACACAGAGUUGCGUGCUCUAGCCAUUGAAGACUUGGGGAGGUGGAGUAGCUUUCUAUCACAAUAACGCAGACAACGCGUAGAUAUCCACGAGCGAGCGCCGCUCUCUGAUCUCCUGAGAAAUCAAAGGACAUGCUGAGUGUGCCACACGUUCCCCGGGGACCUCCAAGUGAGGGAGCGAGCCGCGCCGUAGAGCACAGCCCCACAGAAGGGGAUCUGGCUUGAGCCCGACGUCCUUGAUCCACACCCCGCCUGGGCCACUUGCCAGCUAGUGGUGCGGAAGAAGCCGUGAAUGGGGAUCACGCCUCGAACAGGCUGCUAGGGCUGCGGGACGCACAGCCGUGAAUGGGGAUCACGCCCGAGGCACACCGCAAGCUCGCAAUGCCAUGACCGCAAACGAUGUCCUCUGGCCUCUGAGAGUUGCACCCUGGGAAGGUCCACAGGGCCAGUCCUGUCUUCGACAGGCCUGCGGAUUCUCCACCAAGGUGGGCCGUGUCUUCAAGUCGAGGUUGCUGACGCGUGUCCCGCUGGGCCUCUGGGGGUCCUGGGCCGGAAGCCUGGGGUGAGCUACCCUUCCAGGGAGGGUGGAUGUGCUCGGCCGGCCCGGAGCCCAGCAGUACCACGACGAUGCAGGGGGAGCAGUUCCUCUCUCAGCCUGCAGCUAGGGGUGGGGGGAAGGCAGCCCCUCCCUGUUCGCGGCUGCUAGGACUGGAGUCAGGGGGGCGUUCGUCCCCGCUCCCUCAGACCCACUUCUCCUUAUAGCACCAUCCUGCCUUUGUCCCGCGGGGGUCACCCUUCACCAACACGGGUUUUAGGUGGGGUCUCGGUUCUGCCCUCUGACCUUCUGAAAGCCAUUUGCUCCUGGCACCUGGGAACCCCACCCCGGGAGCUCCUCCCCACCCCGGGAGCUCCUCCCCACGGCCCUAGCGCAUCCCUGCUCACCCACCCCUGACUUUGCAUUUGCUCUGCGUCCUCUUCCCCGGGAUUUCUCUUGCUUACCCGCG